rnacentral:lncRNA from 1 species
AAAGCGCAGGUCCCCGCCUCGGCAGCCACGGGACACCUGCAUCUGCCAACAAGACUGGAAGCAGAAAGGGACAGAGACGGCGAAGUUUGACGGUCUGGAAAGCAGAGACCAGCAGGGCUGACUGCUUGGGAGCACCAAAUAUCCGGACAGCGCCUCUCGGGAGGUCCGAGAAGAGAACCGCGAUCUGUUUCAGCACCGGGGCUCAGGACAGUUCCCAGCGGGCUCCGUUUCGUCUCCAGAACCCUGGACAGCUCCUCCAGACUUCGGUGAGAAACCUUGUGCCAAGCAUUUUACAUACAUCAUAUCAUGCCAUCUUCAACCCUAGGACAUGGGUGUUACUGUGCCCAUGUGACAUUUGGGGAACCCAAGGCCCUGAGAAAGGCAGAAAAAUAACCCACGCAGGGACUCUCAGCCCACAAGUGAAGCUGAGAACCGGGAAUGGAAAACAGGGAGGCAGCACAGAGGCAGGAAACUCAGGUGUCAUAGCUUGGCUCAGCCUCAGGGCUUUUGCCUCUGCUGUUCCUGCAGCUUGGAAUGCACUCCCUCCACCUCCAACCAGAGCUCCCCACAACUGACCCUGCCUUCUUCUGCAAGCUCCAUUUCAUCAAGGGAAACGAUCCUUAUUGCCUCACCAUUUCCCACGUGAAGUCUGUAUUGACAUUCUCAUAGACCUGGGAUAUUGUGUCUGCAGCACAUAGUCCAAUUAUUUUCAUGUUAUCUACUGACAGGUCUAUUUGUCUCCCUGUUACACUGUGAGCUCCGUGAGGGCAGAAACAAUGUUAGUAUUUUCACUGCUGUGUCCCCAGCGCCUGGUCCGGGGCCCGGCACACAGCAGGCAUAUAAUAAGCAUGUGUUGAAUCAAUAAAGGCAUCAAAGAAUAAACCAAUACAUCAAUCAAUAAAUGAAUGAAUGGCCUCAGC